rnacentral:ncRNA from 1 species
UCAGGUCUGUGGCUGAAAGUCGAUGGCAGUCGCAGCCGAAACGAUCCACGUAACGCAGAAAAAAUUUCUGCUGAGCAUGGUGCGGUUUAGAAGUAAGUCCUGCCGGGACCGAUACGGAUCCCGAGAGGGUGAGUCGUGAGAGGAAGACACCGGGUAGCAAAAGCUCCAGCAGGCGAGUGUGGGGUCAAAAGCCAGGUCAGCUGAGG